CUUGUGAAAACAAGAGGGGCUACAAGCACCGAUGGAUUUAGAGUAAACGCAAGCUCUCCCUGCAGGAGUGACCUGUGAACUCUGCUGGACUUUCUUCUUGUUUUCUUUUUUUUUUUUAUCACCAUUUACAGCACAGGGUUGCUGAACUGGCACUGACAGAGGUUUUUUGGAGCCUCAAUCCUAACAAACUCACAAGAUCAUCAGUAUAUCCUCUGUGCUUCAGAAACAGAAGCCCAAACGCCAUCUGGAUAACGUCGUGACUGUCAGAACAUUUUUAUUCUCUUUGUUUUUGUUUUUCAAGGCACAUUGCUAACCUCUAUCUGACCGUAUUAAGGCACAUGUAGGCAUUUUUCUAGCUACGAGGCAGAACAAAGCUUGCAAAAGGGCAGCUGGGUGCCUGCAAAGGGCAACAUCCUCCACUGGUGCUGUACUUCCCACUGAAGAGCAGUGCUCCAACAGGCACUGGCAGCUUCCUACUGGAAGAGGAGUCUGCCUCAUGAGGGGCUGGUAGUACUGUAGAGUAAUGGCCUUCCAGCAGGGAAACUAUGAUGUUCCUUCGUGGUUUCUUUUGUUUGUUUUACCUCUGAGCAGGGGCAUCUUAGUGCAGCUGCUGAGCGUGGCAUGAAGUAACUGGCAGAAGAAACGGAGUGGGAAAUAUCCCUCAAACUGGAGCUGAGCCAUUGGCAGAGGCAGUUCAUCUUCACCUCCGUAACGUUCAGACUCAGGGUCUGUUGAUCCCACGUUUGCUGUACGAGGCGCAAAAUCUACCGAUCUGCCUUUCCUCAAGUCAGUUGCCUUCUUGCAGUGAGGUUCGGCACAGCCACCCUUACCACCCACAACAACUUCUGACAACUCUUGGGGCUUGCAGCAAGGCACAGAUGUGGAGAUAUGCGCUCUCUGACUUCAAAAUAUAACUGGAAAGAAUGUUUUGGAGAUGACAUUUUGCUCUCCGGAGGCCAGCAUAACAUGACUGCAGUGUGAGCUGUGUACUUUUGUCCAGCCAGCACUUCCUUUACUUGACAUGGAUAUUGCACUUUUGUAAAGCAUCCUGGAACUCUGCUGCCCCGCUGCAUGCUGUGCAGAGCGCUGGAUAGGAAACACAGACAAAUGGUUUGGUUUUCCUUUAGUAUUGUUAUUACUUUUUCUUUUUUUCUUCUUUUUUUUUGUUUUUUUUUCUUCUUUUUUUGUUUUUUACUGGAACCUUGAGCAACAGCAUGGCAUUUCUGCAGGCUGGUCUGAGUAGAUCUGCUGAAGAACAGAUGGCCUUUGCCUAUUCCUAUGGCUGCGACGCAAUCAGUCUCAUCCAUAUGGUCACAUUUUGUCUGAGGAGGGGACUCUCAGAAGCCAAGAUCUCCCAGACUCUGUGCCUCCCUCUCGAGCGAACAGCAGGUGCUAUCUGGCAAAGACUCAUCUGUUCUAGAUGGCAUUCAUGGUCGAGGGAGCCCAAACUCUUCGAGCUGUAGGAGGGAAAGCUGUAGAGAUUUCUCUCUCUUCCAUUGCGUGUCCUUGUUCUUAAUGUGACAAAAAUGCCCAGGCCAUAUCGCUUGGUGUGUCCCAGCUGACCUUAUCAGAACAUUUAUCAUGUUACUGGUUGCUGACAAAGGGGUCCAGAAUUCAGGGGAGCUGAGAUUGGCCUCUGGACACCUCACUGACUGCGGAAGGAGGGAGGCUCGUCCAGCUGGAGGCGACUGCAUCGCUGAAGGCACUUCAUGUUACUUUUUCAGAAGCACAAAUGUGGUCAUUGGCUUGUCUGGUUGGCUUGGUUUAUUUCCACCACAUCAUCACGUGUGAAUGACUUUUUCUUUUGAAACUGAGAACUCUUCCAAGCACACGAACAUCUCCACAAUGUGAAAUGUAAAUAGCAUGUUGGACUCUCGUGUCCAGUGUUCAAGACUGCAUUGUAAUUGUAAAGGAAAUCGAAUCAAGACUUGGCUGUGAAUUUCUUGUGCUGUCUUGGGAAUAUAACUGUAGUGUUUGUAUCCUGUAUGUAUUAUUAAACUGAGUUCAUUUU
rnacentral:lncRNA from 1 species